rnacentral:rRNA from 1 species
AGUGAACGCUGGCGGUAGGCCUAACACAUGCAAGUCGAACGGCAGCACAGUAAGAGCUUGCUCUUACGGGUGGCGAGUGGCGGACGGGUGAGGAAUACAUCGGAAUCUACUUUUUCGUGGGGGAUAACGUAGGGAAACUUACGCUAAUACCGCAUACGACCUACGGGUGAAAGCAGGGGAUCUUCGGACCUUGCGCGAUUGAAUGAGCCGAUGUCGGAUUAGCUAGUUGGCGGGGUAAAGGCCCACCAAGGCGACGAUCCGUAGCUGGUCUGAGAGGAUGAUCAGCCACACUGGAACUGAGACACGGUCCAGACUCCUACGGGAGGCAGCAGUGGGGAAUAUUGGACAAUGGGCGAAAGCCUGAUCCAGCCAUACCGCGUGGGUGAAGAAGGCCUUCGGGUUGUAAAGCCCUUUUGUUGGGAAAGAAAAGCAGUAGGUUAAUACCCCGCUGUUCUGACGGUACCCAAAGAAUAAGCACCGGCUAACUUCGUG